rnacentral:rRNA from 1 species
CAAUAGCGUAUAUUAAAGUUGUUGCGGUUAAAAAGCUCGUAGUUGGAUUUCUGCCGAGGGCGACCGGUCCGCCCUCUGGGUGUGUAUCUGGUUUGGCCUGGGCAUCUUCUUGGAGAACGUGGCUGCACUUGACUGUGUGGUGCGGUGUCCAGGACUUUUACUUUGAGGAAAUUAGAGUGUUUCAAGCAGGCACACGCCUUGAAUACAUUAGCAUGGAAUAAUAAGAUAGGACCUCGGUUCUAUUUUGUUGGUCUCUAGAGCUGAGGUAAUGAUUAAUAGGGAUAGUUGGGGGCAUUCGUAUUUAACUGUCAGAGGUGAAAUUCUUGGAUUUGUUAAAGACGGACUACUGCGAAGGCAUUUGCCAAGGAUGUUUUCAUUGA